rnacentral:rRNA from 1 species
UACGUAGGCAGCGAGCGUUGUUCGGAAUUACUGGGCGUAAAGAGUGUGUAGGCGGUGUUCCCAGUCUGUUGUGAAAUCUCCGAGCUUAACUCGGAACGGUCAGCUGAUACUGAUCUGCUAGAGUGCGGAAGGGGCAAUCGGAAUUCUUGGUGUAGCGGUGAAAUGCGUAGAUAUCAAGAGGAACACCUGAGGUGAAGACGGGUUGCUGGGCCGACACUGACGCUGAGUGCGCGAAAGCCAGGGGAGCAAACGGG